GACGAACGCUGGCGGCGUGCCUAAUACAUGCAAGUAGAAGCUAGUUGCGAACGGGUGAGUAACGCGUAGGAACCUGCCUCAUAGCGGGGGAUAACUACGCGAAAGCGUAGCUAAUACCGCAUACUAUUGGCGCGGCCGCUAUCGGAGUAGCUUGUUGGUGGGGUAACGGCUCACCAAGGCGACGAUCCGAAGCUGGUUUGAGAGGAAGACCAGCCACACGGGGACUGAGACACGGCCCAGACUCCUACGGGAGGCAGCAGUGGGGAAUUUUGGACAAUGGGGGAAACCCUGAUCCAGCCAUCCCGCGUGUGCGAUGAAGGCCUUCGGGUUGUAAAGCACUUUUGGCAGGAAAGCGGUACCUGCAGAAUAAGCACCGGCUAACUACGUGCCAGCAGCCGCGGUAAUUC
rnacentral:rRNA from 1 species